rnacentral:tRNA from 2 species
GCCCGGGUGGCGGAAUUGGCAGACGCGGGGGGCUUAAACCCCCCUGGAGGAGACUCCGUGAGGGUUCGAGCCCCUCCCCGGGCA